GAUGAACGCUGGCGGCGUGCCUAAUACAUGCAAGUCGAGCGAAUGGAUUAAGAGCUUGCUCUUAUGAAGUUAGCGGCGGACGGGUGAGUAACACGUGGGUAACCUGCCCAUAAGACUGGGAUAACUCCGGGAAACCGGGGCUAAUACCGGAUAACAUUUUGAACCGCAUGGGUCGAAAUUGAAAGUCGGCUUCGGCUGUCACUUAUGGAUGGACCCGCGUCGCAUUAGCUAGUUGGUGAGGUAACGGCUCACCAAGGCAACGAUGGGUAGCCGACCGGAGAGGGUGAUCGGCCACACUGAGACUGAGACGCGGCCCAGACUCCUACGGGAGGCAGCAGUAGGGAAUCUUCCGCAAUGGACGAAAGUCUGACGGAGCAACGCCGCGUGAGUGAUGAAGGCUUUCGGGUCGUAAAACUCUGUUGUUAGGGAAGAACAAGUGCUAGUUGAAUAAGCUGACACCUUGACGGUACCUAACCAGAAAGCCACGGCUAACUACGUGCCAGCCGCCGCUGUAA
rnacentral:rRNA from 1 species